rnacentral:rRNA from 1 species
UGGAUGAUGUGGAUUAAUUCGAUGCAACGCGAAAACCUUACCUACCCUUGACAUGUUCAGAAGUCUUGAGAGAUUGAGAUGUGCCCGAAAGGGAACUGGAACACAGGUGCUGCAUGGCUGUCGUCAGCUCGUGUCGUGAGAUGUUGGGUUAAGUCCCGCAACGAGCGCAACCCUUGUCGUUAAUUGCCAUCAUUUAGUUGGGCACUUUAACGAGACUGCCGGUGACAAACCGGAGGAAGGUGGGGAUGACGUCAAGUCCUCAUGGCCCUUAUGGGUAGGGCUUCACACGUCAUACAAUGGUCGGUACAAAGGGUUGCCAAGCCGCGAGGUGGAGCCAAUCCCAGAAAGCCGAUCGUAGUCCGGAUUGCAGGCUGCAACUCGCCUGCAUGAAGUUGGAGUUGCUAGUAAACGCAGGUCAGCACACUGCGUUGAAUACGUUCUCGGGCCUU